CUUGGCUCACGGCAACCUCUGCCUCCCAGGUUCAAGUGAUUCUCCCACCUCAGCCUCCUGAGUAGCUGGGACUAGAGGCAUGCGUCACCAUGCCCAGCUAAUUUUUGUAUUUUCAGUAUAGACGAGGUUUCACCAUGUUGGCCAGGAUGAUCUCGAUCUCCUGACCUCGUGAUCUGCUUGCCUCGGCCUCCCAAAGUGCUGGGAUUACAGGUGUGAGCCACUGCACCCGGCCAUUCAUCAAGCCCUCUUACAGGGCACAUAAUCCCAUUCAUGAGAGAGAAGCCCUUAUGGCCCGAUCACCUCGACACCUUCACAUUGGCAACACCUGGAUUUUGGAGGAGACACCUUCAAACCAUAGCAGGGUCCUAGUAGUCCCACCCCUGGGGUGAGUCAAAGAACAGAUCAGAAACUCCCAAGAUACAGGGGCAGGAUCCUUAUAGCCCCCUGUACUGUAACAUAGAAUGCACCCCCAUAAUCACAUCCAAGGCCCACAGAUACAAGGGCUCACUGAGGUCUGAGGGUCUGGUUGGUGAGUCCAGGGAGCAUGAGAAAUUCAUCCAGGCCACGCAGGCUCAGGUACCUAGACCCCUGCCCACGCCCUGCGGGGUGGAUAUUACCAUUUGAAAUACUUUGGCGGUGGCAGUGAGAUCUUGCUUAAAAGAAGAAGCCUACCAAAUCCCAGAAUUGCAGAGGUGAAGGGCACCUAUGUGACAAGUGAGGGAACAGAGGCACACAGAUUGGCAGGGACAUGCUCAAAGACACAUGGAGAGCUUGGGCAAAGGAUGGUCCUAGAGUGGGUGGUGCCUGGCCCUGCUUCAGCCUGACGUUGCCAAGGCUCCCCCAACCCACCCCUAAAAUGGCCAGUCCCCACUUCCCCUUUUCAGGUGGGACACAUUUUCUGCUAUCCCGGUCCCAUUUCCUUUCCCUUUCUCCUUAAUCCGAUCUCACUGUGGGGGUGGGAGGUUGGGCAGAGGGGUGAAAACCACCUUCCUCUUACUUGGUAAGUACAUACAAUUUUUUUUUUUUUUUGUCAAUU